UGCGGAUUGAUGUAAUAAUAACAUAACUGGCUCAUGCCCAGCAUAUAGGGGUGCAAAUCCUCUGUCCGCAA
rfam:Lasallia pustulata genome assembly, contig: scaffold89_size55578